GACGAACGCUGGCGGCGUGCUUAACACAUGCAAGUCGAACGGAGUGGCGAACGGGUGAGUAACACGUGGGUGAUCUGCCUUGCACUUCGGGAUAAGCUUGGGAAACUGGGUCUAAUACCGGAUAGUGCAAGAUGAGCUGGCGGCCUAUCAGCUUGGUGGUGGGGUAAUGGCCUACCAAGGCGGCGACGGGUAGCCGGCCUGAGAGGGGGUACGGCAACAUUGGGACUGGGAUACGGCCCAGAGUACUACGGGAGGCAGCAGUGGGGAAUAUAGCACAAGAGGCGGAAGCCGGAUGCAGCGACGCCGCGUGGGGGAGGAAGGUCGUCGGGGUGUAAACUCUUUUCGACAGGGACGCGGUACCUGUAUAAGAAGCACCGGCUAACUACGUGCCAGCCGCCGCGGUAAUUC
rnacentral:rRNA from 1 species